GGAGCACUGGUUACUUCCCCUGUCCUCUCAGCUCUGGGAGGGAUUGGGUGGUCAUGAAGUCCUGAGAGAGCAGAGGGACACACCAACUUCUCUUGUUGGUUCCCUCAACCCUGCCCAUACCUAUGCAUAAUCAGAGAUGGAUUCACUCUCCAGUUAGGAUCCUGAUCAAGGUAUUUGUACGGGGGAUUCCAUGCAGAUGGUGUAUAGAGAGAAGAUAGACACAAGGGAUCUCAUAGCCAAGGACUGGAUUUGAACCAGUCUGUCUCCAGCUAUGUUUUAGAGGCUGAGGACUGUGCCCGUCAUCUCUUAGAGCUUCUCUCUGGGCCACUGGCUGAAAGGGCACAUCUCAGGGAAAAAGGUCAGUGUGAUUCCCUUAUUUCUUUGUGGAAAGACCUCAGUAGCCAAAGGUGUUUGCCUGCGUUAUUUGUCUGAACAGGAUCUUCUCUAGGACAGCUACGUCCACAGGACAGCACCAAGAGUUACUCUGCAUGCUUAUAGUCCCUGCUUAUGAACAGAAACAGAGGCAAUAUUCACAUGAAAGCUCAAAUGUGGAUCUCU
rnacentral:lncRNA from 1 species